AUAAAAGUCUGGUACCAAAUAUUAUAAUUUACAAACAUUGUCUAGGAGCAAGUGGCAAGCAUGCAAUCACACUGUAUAACGUAAUUGUCAUGUGAACUAAUGACUAUUAAAUAGUUUAGCAAUAUACUAAGCAGUAUGAUUCUGUACAAUACAUACGCAUUUUAUACAAUCUGUUUUGUUCUGUGAUUCCUUACUGAUAAAAUAUUUUAAACAAUCAGAAUUGAUAGUUAUAACUG